CCACUUUGAGAUCAGCUGCCCAUUUGGAAUCCCCUACACCUCCUUAUCUUUUGAGACCUUUCGCCCAAAAAAUCCAACUUCCCCCUCCAUUUCUCUCUCCUUCGUCUUCAACGUCCUCAUCUUUUUCCACUUCUUCUAUGGUGGAUGCUAUAGCUUCCACUACUACAACUAACAUCAAUUCUGGUACUGGAACCAAUACUAAUACUUCUAAUUCUUCAACUUCCAUUAACUACCAGCUAUCGUCUGAUUUAGGACUUCUGAAGCAGCCACAGAAUCUACUCAACAUCAACAUGCCAAACCCAAUUCUCAAUCCCCACUCUCUCCUUCCUAAAUACCCACUUCCCAAUUCAGCCAUUCUUGACACCUCCAAAACGCAACAAGGGUCGUUGGACAUGUCAUCGAAUGAUUCACAUCUGAAAAUGGGUGUUCUGGAAGAGUUCGGUUUGAGCCAUGGCCAUGUUAGCACGAACCUCACUCGACUCCCAAACAUAGUAUCAUCAUCAAACACAACAUUGCGAGGAAGCGACAGCAGCAACAACAACAACCACCGCCCCGCAAACUGGGGAGAUGGAGUGGGAUCGAACGAGGGUGAUCAAGGUCUGUUAAGGUCCAUCAAUGGUAAUUACAGUAACUCACAGCCAAGAGUUACCAAUGGGAAAGCAAACUACUCGGCUUCUUCAUCAGAUUUUCAAGGCGAUAAGGGGCCAGAGAAUGUGACUGCUGCAAGAAGUGAA
rnacentral:misc_RNA from 1 species